CUAGGAUCCGGGGGGCUGAGGAUGGGCCGCUUGCCCCCCCACUACCGCCCCUGCCAGGCCCGCCGCCCCACGGGGGCCGCUCCCGGGCCGGAGCGUGGGGGCUGGCCCUGGGCCGGGACUCCCCGGUGCCAAUCUCAGGCCGGGAUGAGCCCGCUCCCCUUCUUAUAGAUGGGUAGGGGGCGUCCCGGAGGCUCAAUGGGGGGUCCCGGAGCGCCAGGGGGCCCGCGGUCACAGGGGUCCCGCCGGUCAGAGGCCUAAGCGGCGCCUCCCCCUCCCCUCCCCCACGCACUUUCACCUCCCCCCCAGGCCCGGUUCCCCCGCCCGCAGCCCUCGCUCCCCUCCCUCGGCGGAGACCCGUGUGUGAGGAGCGGGGGUCCCAGGACCCCCCAACCCAUAGGCGGCCGCUGCCCCAGCCCCCGGCUCCCUUACCCCGGCUUUCCCGGCCCCGGGCCUGCGGCAGCCCGGCGCCUCCCCGGCCUCACGUGAGCACGUCAGGCGCCCGCCCUGCCUCCCCGGCCCGGCCCGGCGCCCUACGGGAGCCCGGGGAUGGGGGCCGGGCCUGGGGCCGCCUCCGCUUACCUUGGAGCUGCUUUUUUUCCCCUCCUCUUCCCCCCUUUCCCUUCGGCUGGGGCUGACAGACGAGAAGCGCGGAGAGAGGCGCUGGCCGAGGGCGAGGAGCCGCCGCCGCCGCCGCCGCCGCUCCCCCCCGGGCUCCCCGAGAGCCUCUCCCGCUCAGGCCGGGGCGCCGAGCAUCAUCUUUUUAUUGGGGAAACUCCGGAGCGCUCCCGGGGUCGGUGAUUAUUGAGGGGAAAUCCCUGAAUCUAGGCUCCAGCCAAGAAGGCAGGGCUGCUGGGGCUGCACCACAAGAGGAGCCAGCAGCCUCCUACAGCACCACUACCGGCACUGAGAGGACAUAACACCAGACAGCCGCUCCUCGGCCCUGCGAAACGACAACUUUCCUACCAUCUUGGAGCUAGCGAGGGGGGCAGGGGUAGAGAGGGCACGGCGCCGCUGCCCGGGGACAGGACGGGGGCAGCAGCCCGCGACCCCCGAGCCCGAGGACGAGUGCCCGGCGGGGCGGGGGCGGCGGCCGCCUGCACGGCCUGUGGGGCCGCCGGGGCAAGGACUCUCUGCUCUCCUGCUCCAAAGACUUUUUUUUUUGUUGUUGUUGCAAGAAACAGGUGUUUCUCUCUCCCACCCCCUUUCUAUCCUGAUCCCCUCUUCAGGAAUGAUUUUAAUUUUUUUUAAGAACAGUAUCCUCAACCUGAUGUGUUCCCUGACCAUGAAGGGGAAGGGAGACUUGGACACUGAUAGUUUCAAAAUAGCAGGUUGCAUGAAGACUGAUGCAGGAAUUUAUUUCAGUGACCGUACUGAAAACGGCAGCUAGCACUGACAUAAGGUUUUCUGCUGGAAAAAGAAAUCAAGUAUUUACAUUUUUCCAGAGCUCCCACUGUUUGAGCUCUAUGGGACCCAGAGUGGCAAAUAUAGAAGUUUCCCUUUCAACUGCCCUGACAAUGAGAUUCAGUGAAACAGGUAAAACUCUAUUACAAUGGAUAUAUGAAAAGAAAGAUUUCUACGAGAAUAAAAUCAUUUCCAUGCCCCUGAGGAUGGCCUAUAGUAACAGAGCUAGGUUAACCUGAUUUGACCUUUCUUGGGACAGUCAUUUCAUAUUUAUCAUUCAUAAAAUGCUUAGAUGAUCUCUAAGAUCCUUUCUAGUUAACAAUAUUCUGUUCAAGGCUAAUUGUACACUAUUUCAAAAUCUGAUUCUUUUUGUACAGGAAAAUAAUUGUUUGGACAUGUAUACUUAUAUUGCAUUUAAUUUAUACUUUAACAUAUUUAACAUGUUGAUGUAUUGGUCAACCUGCCCUCUGGGAAAGGGGGUAGGGGGAAGGAGGGGAAAAAUUGGAACAAAAGGUUUGGCAAUUGUCAAUGCUGUAAAAUUACCCAUACAUAUAACUUGUAAAUAAAAAGCUAUAAUAAUAA